rnacentral:rRNA from 1 species
UCCGGUUGAUCCUGCCAGAGGUCACUGCUAUCGGGGUUCGAUUAAGCCAUGCGAGUCGAGAGGGUUCGGCCCUCGGCGUACUGCUCAGUAACACGUGGAUAACCUGACCUAAGGAAGGGGAUAACUCCGGGAAACUGGGGAUAAUACCCUAUAGGUUACGGGUGCUGGAAUGCCCUGUAACCGAAAGUUCCGACGCCUUAGGAUGGAUCUGCGGCCGAUUAGGUUGUUGUCGGGGUAAUGGCCCAACAAGCCAGUGAUCGGUACGGGUUGUGGGAGCAAGAGCCCGGAGUUGGAUUCUGAGACACGAAUCCAGGCCCUACGGGGCGCAGCAGGCGCGAAAACUUUACAAUGCGGGCAACCGUGAUAAGGGAACCUCGAGUGCCUGUAUAUGCAGGCUGUCCAGGUGUCUAAAACACACCUGAAGAAAGGGCCGGGCAAGACCGGUGCCAGCCGCCGCGGUAAUACCGGCGGCUCGAGUGGUGGCCACUUUUAUUGGGCUUAAAGCGUUCGUAGCUGGGUUGUUAAGUCUCUUGGGAAAUCCGGCAGCUUAACUGUCGGGCGUCUAAGGGAUACUGGUAAUCUUGGAACCGGGAGAGGUGAGGGGUACUUCGGGGGUAGGAGUGAAAUCCUGUAAUCCUCGAGGGACCACCUGUGGCGAAGGCGCCUCACCAGAACGGCUUCGACAGUGAGGGACGAAAGCUGGGGGAGCAAACCGGAUUAGAUACCCGGGUAGUCCCAGCCGUAAACGAUGCGCGUUAGGUGUAUCGGUGACCACGAGUCACCGAGGUGCCGAAGGGAAACCGUGAAACGUGCCGCCUGGGAAGUACGGUCGCAAGGCUGAAACUUAAAGGAAUUGGCGGGGGAGCAC